CCUGGUCAGCAGGAAGUCAUCUUUCAUGGUGUCUCUGGACCCCAGACGGCUGGAAGCUCAGUCACCUUCCAGUCAGCGAUCCAAGAGACCAGCACCAGCCAAGACCUUCAUCACAUGACUUUGAGGGGCCCUGGGAAAGACAGUCUAGCUAUGGGCCGAGAGGAGGAUGCAAAUUUGGGGGAGCAGAGAGCCGUCUUUGGACCCAAGCCCAAUCCAGAGGAUGAGCUCGGACCACUCCAGGACAUCCUGAUGGAAUCAUCUGGACACAUUUUGCAACUUCGAUGAAACCGCUGGGGAUGUCUUGAAGGCUUGUCGAGCAAGAGGAGCCGUGAUUUGCGACCGGGAGCCGCACGGAAGCUCCGGGAUGGAUUUCUGAUAACGCCGCGUGAUCGAUGUGCGGCAUCUCCUGACGUGUGUGAACAGCCCUUCAGCGGCCGCUCCUCCGUCUUGUCAGCUCACUUCACAUCCACAUUCCUUUUCAAAGGAUCAGCUGAGACUCAAGUGUCUUUAACAGACUCUCAGCCCGCUCAGUGGCUGUAAUUAUUUGUCUCAACGCUCAAGUUCAAGUUCUACCUGCUACUGCUUGACAACCUCCCCGCCCCCCCCCCCCGCCCCCAGAACCUCUCCGCUCUCCAAUCACUAGAUGCUCCCGACUCUGCUUUCUUCCCUGAAUCUAACUUUGGAAUGGUCCUCCCUCAGGGAACCCCCGUUCUUCUAAGAAUAACAGGAGGGGUUGCAUCCUGCUCUUGUGACCUGGUUGAUGUCACUGGCAUGCUUCCCAGUUACAGGCAAGGCAUUUCCAUUGCAGAGAAGGAAUUUUUUUUUUUUUUUUUUUUAAUCUUGAGUGGCUGUCGAUGUGUUGGUGACCAUACCGUGUCUUUUAUUAUUCUCACCUAUGAACCUCUUGAUUUUACCCCCGCCCUGUUCCCUUCUCAAAGCUCCCAGUCUUUCCUGGCACACACAUACACCUUUCUAAAUGCCAAGCUGAUAUCGUCAAACCAAACUGAGGGUUGAAUUAUAGUCACGCCCAUAGCUUUCCAAACAUCAACACUCAAAGGCCGACUUGGGCUCCUCGCUCUCCUGUUGGCUCUUUCUGACAUGCUACACAUCUGUUAAUAUUUAUCUGAGCGGGGGGGGGGCUGCAUUCUUGAUUUACUUUUGCCAUUUUACUCCAUUUAUUAACAGCAGUUUCCGCAUCCAGCACCUUCAGGAAACUGGUAGCAGAGUCAUUCACCCGAGGUUCCCUGCGUGCUUUUAAUAUGCUUGGAUCUUGUCCAAGCUUCCUUUUAAGAAAGAACCCUCUGCUGGGAAUAAGAUGCGGGCUUUAUAACGUAGGGAUCCUUUCCUGUUUAAACUGGCCUUCAGAAUAAUCCCAUCCACCCCAGCCUAGGACACACCCAGAUUUAAAUUCGUACAGUAUGGAUCUGAUGUGCAGAUCCGUCUUCCCCCAGGGCAGAUAGCUCUGAAGAAUUUCAGGGAGGGAUGUGUGUGGCCGGGAGGAGUGGGGGAGGGGACACUCAUUACUCUCAGUAGUGAUGAGAUGCAGCAGGGUUGAGCUGGCCUCAAUCUGGGUCCCAGGAGAGAAGCACCCCAGGCUCAUCAGAUCUAUUGGGAUAGAACACACACC